AUGGAUACAUGGCCAAACCACCAAGUGGUUCUGAAAAGGAUUAAAUCACAAUUUGAAGAGCAAGAACGUGCUACAAUAGAGAUCCAAAAGGUAAACUCUGAGCUCAGCCAUCAGGUCACCGAAUUACAAGAUCAAUUACAAGCUGAACGUGAAAGUACACAAGAGAGGAUUAACUUCGAGCGUGCUAAGAGAGAAAACCUUGAGGAGAGGUUAAAAGAAGAGCGUGCUGAAACGGAAAGAUUGUUGGAAGAGGAGCGAAGAUCAAUAUUGGAAUUUGAGAAAAACAUGAUGGCAAAGUUUGCACAGUUCUCCCAACAGACGCAAACACAUCAGAUGAAUAAGAAAAGGACUAACAAAGAAAUUAGUAAUCCAAACUUGCAAAAUACUCUUUUACAGACCGCUAGUACUACUGGGACUCUAGGUACAAGGCACAAUGUAAUUGCUCCCAAUAUGCUCAUACAAGCUGCAAAUAUUCGAAUGUUUCGAGCAAUGGAUCCAAAGAUUAACUAG
rnacentral:rRNA from 1 species